UACGGAGGAUGCGAGCGUUAUCCGGAUUUAUUGGGUUUAAAGGGUGCGUAGGCGGACGCUUAAGUCAGCGGUAAAAUUGCGGGGCUCAACCUCGUCGAGCCGUCGAAACUGGGUGCCUUGAGUGGGCGAGAAGUACGCGGAAUGCGUGGUGUAGCGGUGAAAUGCAUAGAUAUCACGCAGAACUCCGAUUGCGAAGGCAGCGUACCGGCGCCCAACUGACGCUGAAGCACGAAGGCGUGGGCAUCGAACAGG
rnacentral:rRNA from 1 species